CCUACGGGAGGCAGCAGUGAGGAAUAUUGGUCAAUGGGCGCGAGCCUGAACCAGCCAAGUAGCGUGAAGGAUGACGGCCCUACGGGUUGUAAACUUCUUUUAUAAAGGAGUAAGGUGGGGCACGUGGGCCUUUUUGUAUGUACGUUAUGAAUAAGGAUCGGCUAACUCCGUGACAGCAGCCGCGGUAAUACGGAGGUUCCGAGCGUUGUCCGGAUUGCUUGGGGUUAAAGGGAGCGCAGAGGGUUUGUUACGUCAGUUGUGAAGGUUUUCGGCUCCACCGUAAAAUUGCAUUUGAUACUGGCAGUCUUGAGUACAGUUGAGGUCGGCGGACUUCCUGGUGUAGCGGU
rnacentral:rRNA from 1 species